rnacentral:rRNA from 1 species
AUUGAACGCUGGCGGCAGGCUUAACACAUGCAAGUCGAGCGGGGUGAUGGUGCUUGCACUAUCACUUAGUGGCGGACGGGUGAGUAAUGCUUAGGAAUCUGCCUAUUAGUGGGGGACAACAUCUCGAAAGGGAUGCUAAUACCGCAUACGUCCUACGGGAGAAAGCAGGGGAUCACUUGUGACCUUGCGCUAAUAGAGGAGCCUAGGUCGGAUUAGCUAGUUGGUGGGGUAAAGGCCUACCAAGGCGACGAUCUGUAGCGGGUCUGAGAGGAUGAUCCGCCACACUGGGACUGGGACACGGCCCAGACUCCUACGGGAGGCAGCAGUGGGGAAUAUUGGACAAUGGGGGGAACCCUGAUCCAGCCAUGCCGCGUGUGUGAAGAAGGCCUUAUGGUUGUAAAGCACUUUAAGCGAGGAGGAGGCUCUUUUGGUUAAUACCCAAGAUGAGUGGACGUUACUCGCAGAAUAAGCACCGGCUAACUCUGUGCCAGCCGCCGCCGUAA